GACGAACGCUGGCGGCGUGCUUAACACAUGCAAGUCGAACGGGAUUUUUGUGGAAAUUCUUUCGGGAAUGGAGAUGAAAUGAAAGUGGCGAACGGGUGAGUAACACGUGAGCAACCUACCUUACACAGGGGGAUAGCCGUUGGAAACGACGAUUAAUACCGCAUGAGACCACAGAUUCGCAUGAUAUAGGGGUCAAGGAUUUAUCGGUGUAAGAAGGGCUCGCGUCUGAUUAGCUAGUUGGAAGGGUAAAGGCCUACCAAGGCGACGAUCAGUAGCCGGUCUGGGAGGAUGAACGGCCACAUUGGAACUGAGACACGGUCCACACUCCUACGGGAGGCAGCAGUGGGGAAUAUUGCACAAUGGGGGGAACCCUGAUGCAGCGACGCCGCGUGAGCGAAGAAGGUUUUCGAAUCGUAAAGCUCUGUCCUAUGAGAAGAUAAUGACGGUAUCAUAGGAGGAAGCCCCGGCUAAAUACGUG
rnacentral:rRNA from 1 species